UACGGGGGGGGCAAGCGUUGUUCGGAAUUACUGGGCGUAAAGGGCGCGUAGGCGGGUGGACAAGUCUCUCGUGAAAGCCCACGGCUCAACCGCGGAAUUGCGGGAGAUACUGUCUGUCUUGAGUCCGGGAGAGGAGGGUGGAAGUCCCAGUGUAGCGGUGAAAUGCGUAGAUAUUGGGAGGAACACCGGUGGCGAAGGCGGCUCUCUGGACCGGUACUGACGCUGAGGCGCGAAAGCUAGGGGAGCAAACGGG
rnacentral:rRNA from 1 species